CGCCUAUAGAAAUUACUCCUAUUAUAGGUCAAUCCUGCCCAGUGAAAUUCUUAAACGGCUGCGGUACCCUGACCGUACAAAGGUAGCAUAAUCAUUUGCCUCCUAAUUAGAGGCUAGUAUGAAUGGACAAACGAGAUUAUACCUGUCUCUAGUAUACCCCUAUAAAUUUAUCUACAGGUGAAGAAGCCUGUAUUAAAAUAAAAGACAAGAAGACCCUGUCGAGCUUUAAUCACAAAUAAACCUCCGUAAAAUCAUAAUAUACACUACUCUAUUGCUGAUUUUUGUUGGGGCGACAAUGGAAUAAAUUAACCCUCCAUCACAACUAAGACAUCAAGUCUUCCCAAAGAUCCUUAAAAGAUAUCCGGUACUAGCUACCGCAGGGAUAACAGACUAAUCCCUCUCAAGAGCCCAUAUCCACAGAGGGGUUUGGCACCUCGAUGUUGGCUUAGGAUUCCCUUAGAUGCAGAAGUCUAAAAUAGKAGGUUUGUUCAACCUUUAAUAUCCU
rnacentral:rRNA from 1 species